GCACAGUACAAUAAGAUAAUCUAAACAAAUGAGACAUCUUUUUUUUCAGGAAGUGUGUAGGGAGACUGCUACAGUGCAGGGCUAGCAUUUUUGGCCUGGGAGAUAUCUACAAGUGAAUGGCCUUUUAUUCACAAAAUUCAGAAGUGCCCACCUUUCUCUCAAAAAUUGUUGUUACAGGUACAUACUGUUGCUCGCAAACAUUGAUGAAUAUCUACUUAGUGAUUUACUCUUUG